GGAAAUUUUACCCGGACAGCACAUGAUUAGGAUUGUCAGAUUGAGAGCUCUUGCAUGAUUUCAUGGAGGGUGGUGCAUGGCCGUUCUUGGUUGGUGGAGUGAUUUGUCUGGUUAAUUCCGUUAACGAACGAGACCUCGACCUGCUAAAUAGUUCGGCAAAUUCUUCGGGAUUUGUACGUGACUUCUUAGAGGGACUAUCGGUGGUUAGCCGAUGGAAGUUCGAGGCAAUAA
rnacentral:rRNA from 1 species